rnacentral:rRNA from 1 species
GAUGAACGCUGGCGGCGUGCCUAAUACAUGCAAGUAGAACGCUGAAGGAAGGAGCUUGCUCUUUCCGGAUGAGUUGCGAACGGGUGAGUAACGCGUAGGUAACCUGCCUGGUAGCGGGGGAUAACUAUUGGAAACGAUAGCUAAUACCGCAUAACAGUAGAUGUUGCAUGAUAUCUACUUAAAAGGUGCAAUUGCACCACUACCAGAUGGACCUGCGUUGUAUUGGCUAGUUGGUGAGGUAACGGCUCACCAAGGCGACGAUACAUAGCCAACCUGAGAGGGUGAUCGGCCACACUGGGACUGAGACACGGCCCAGACUCCUACGGGAGGCAGCAGUAGGGAAUCUUCGGCAAUGGACGGAAGUCUGACCGAGCAACGCCGCGUGAGUGAAGAAGGUUUUCGGAUCGUAAAGCUCUGUUGUAAGAGAAGAACGAGUGUGAGAGUGGAAAGUUCACACUGUGACGGUAUCUUACCAGAAAGGGACGGCUAACUACGUG